CCUACGGGAGGCAGCAGUGGGGAAUAUUGCACAAUGGGGGAAACCCUGAUGCAGCGACGCCGCGUGAGUGAAGAAGUAUUUCGGUGUGUAAAGCUCUAUCAGCAGGGAAGAAAAUGACGGUACCUGAUUAAGAAUCCCCGGCUAACUACGUGCCAGCAGCCGCGGUAAUACGUCGGGGGCAAGCGUUAUCCGGAUUUACUGGGUGUAAAGGGAGCGUAGACGGCAGCACAAGGCUGGAGUGAAAUGCCGGGGCUUAACCCCGGAACUGCUUUGGAAACUGUGCAGCUAGAGUGCAGGAGAGGUAAGUGGAAUUCCUAGUGUAGCGGUGAAAGGCGUAGAUAUUAGGAGGAACACCAGUGGCGAAGGCGGCUUACUGGACUGUAACUGACGUUGAGGCUCGAAAGCGUGGGGAGCAAACAGGAUUAGAUACCCGGGUAGUC
rnacentral:rRNA from 1 species